rnacentral:rRNA from 1 species
UACAGGGGUGCAAACGUUGCUCGGAAUCAUUGGGCGUAAAGGGCGCGUAGGCGGCGAUGUAAGUCAGGCGUGAAAGCCCCGGGCUCAACCUGGGAACGGCGCUUGAUACUGCGUUGCUUGAGGACGGGAGAGGAUGGUGGAAUUCCCAGUGUAGAGGUGAAAUUCGUAGAUAUUGGGAAGAACACCGAUGGCGAAGGCAGGUCUCUGGGCCGAUACUGACGCUGAGGAGCGAAAGCGUGGGGAGCGAACAGG